rnacentral:rRNA from 1 species
AUUGAACGCUGGCGGCAUGCCUUACACAUGCAAGUCGAACGGUAACGCGGGGCAACCUGGCGACGAGUGGCGAACGGGUGAGUAAUGCAUCGGAACGUGCCUGGUAGUGGGGGAUAACUGCUCGAAAGAGCAGCUAAUACCGCAUACGACCUGAGGGUGAAAGGGGGGGAUCGCAAGACCUCUCGCUAUCAGAGCGGCCGAUGUCGGAUUAGCUAGUUGGUGGGGUAAAGGCCCACCAAGGCAACGAUCCGUAGCUGGUCUGAGAGGACGACCAGCCACACUGGGACUGAGACUCGGCCCAGACUCCUACGGGAGGCAGCAGUGGGGAAUUUUGGACAAUGGACGCAAGUCUGAUCCAGCCAUGCCGCGUGCGGGAAGAAGGCCUUCGGGUUGUAAAGCACUUUCAGUAGGGAGGAAGCGUUGUGUGUUAAUAGUACACAGCGUUGACGUUACCUACAGAAGAAGCACCGGCUAACUCUGUGCCAGCAGCAGCCGCGGUAA